AAGUUUAACACCUCCCGUAAAAAUGGGUGCGGCAAAAGGGUAAAGCCCCCUUCUAAAGCAUGCAAGCGGAGUUGGAACCAUGUAGGAUUUUGGAAAGUAUUGUUAAAUUGUUCUUCCCCUCCACUCAAGAUAUCUUGUACAUAAUUGUCUUAUGGUGGACCCCCUAGCCUAGAGCAUCCUUGUAGACUCAUUGGACGUAGUGGUACACCAAAAUUACCCAGUGGGAG
rnacentral:lncRNA from 1 species